GUUCCGGCUGCUGGCCUCGUGGCGGCGGGUGAGGUUUCUGGAGGUCAGUGAGCAAUCAAAACAAUGAAUGACUGUCUGUGAUUAUUUCUGAAACUGCUGCCUGUGGACUUCAAAGAAUCAAGUCUUCUACACAAGGUCAGGAGCUGCAUAUAUCUCCUAUUAUGACUACCCUCCACAGUCUAGUCAGUUUCGUAUCAGAAACAAACUUGAAGGAUGCUGUGUUGCGGCACACUGCUGGAUGCAAAAGCUCCUGGGAACUCUUUCUUGUAUCCUUUUGCAUUACUGGGCCAAAGUUGUCUAGGUACCUGUUAUGGCUUCAUUCUUAUUUCCAUUUUAGAAUAGAAGAUACACACACUGGAUAACCUAUCUGCUGUUAACAAAAUGAGUCUCAAUUUUCUGAAAAUAAAUCACAAAAUUAAAAGGUAGCGCUUGUGCAGACUGAAUUAACAGUCUGCUACCACCUAGUUCAAGCGGGUUUUCAGGACUGCAUUUGCAUUUCUGUAUAUAUUACGUGAACAAAUUAGUAAUACUGAGAUGUGUUUACUUAUGCAUGCCUGUAGCAAGUUAAUGUGUAAUUUGCUCAUACAUCUGCAUAUACAAUCACUACAAUUACAUUUGCAAAUUAAGUAUGUGUUCAUAUACAUGUGGGAUAUCUGUAUACACAUUUUUUUUACUAUUUGGAUUAUAAUUUUUUUUUAACUGAAUAUUUAUCUUAUUCAUUUAUCCACCAAUUUGCGUAAGUCUUCCUUCUGGGGUGAGAGCUAUUGUAGCCUACAAAUUACUUUGUUCUUAUAUACAGUAGAAAAUAUAUUUGCUGGCAUUUGUAUACCUCUGUCUAUACAUCAACUUUUAUAAUCUGGUAAUGUCAAAACGCUCACACCUUCUCUUCAUUACACUUUCUAUUUCUGAUGGUUAGAGUGCAAAACUCUCCACAGAUGAUAUAUUCCCUCUAGCAGUUUAGCUGUGGCAACAUUGUCUAUCCAGUCAACAGUUUGCUCACUUUUGAGGUACUUUUCUUGUUGACAUUGAAUUCUGUGUUCCUGUAAGUGAUUUACAAUAGCUAACACUACUAGUUCAAAGCUAGACUGGUUUUUCCUACUCUAUACUAAUCAUGAUCCUGAAGGCAUAUGUGAAGAUAGCAGGAGGGGAACAAAAAAAAAAAAGAAGAAUUUAAUGCCACUGGGGUAUGUAUGGACUUACGGUUAGAGUGUUUGGGUUUUUUUGUUUUCAUCUAUUACGAGAAAUUAAUUUCUUGGUGUAUGAUGCUGUGUCAAAGGCAAGGAGAAAAAAAUAAAAAUGAUAGCUGAGGUGAAUAUUAAACUAACAUUACAUUAUUUCUUUUGCUGUGUCAGAGUGUGAGAAUCUGUUACUUGUAGAUCCAUCACAUGGCAGCAAAUGGUGGCAGGUUGCAGCUACAAGUAUGCGGCCUUGAGCCAUGGGGUAAAUCCCUUUGUACAGACACCUAUUGUUGAUGGGUCAUCAACAUUAGUGUCUGUUCCAUAUAUAGAAGUAGUCUCACUACUUAACUUUUCUGCUCAAGGAGCAAAAGGCAGACUAAGACAGAAUGAAGUAGGGAGCACAAGCUCAGCAGAACUGGAGAAGUUAUCAUGGUAGUAGUGUAGCAAGAUGAUGACUGAGAGGCACAUCCCAAAUUCAGUGAAGCUAGAAAGGGACAAGAAGUUGAGAGUGUAAGAGGAGAAUGAUGACGAGUGAGCACAGUAUUGGAGUUGGGAAACAGAGGCUGCCUAAAAAAAGGAUACAAGAAAAGAAAUUUAACUUAUAUACCUUUCCCUGCUCUUCUGUUAACUAGUAUACUUUCAGGGAUUUCAGGUGCAUAACCCCUCACAGCAUAUAACUUAAGUGUGCUGUGGAAGCCCUGCUAUAAUAUUCCUUGAAGUUCUUUAACUGAAGGAAAUUUGGUAAAGAACUUGGGAAAUACUUGUUCACAGCAACCAAAUUCUCAGACAGCAGUAAGUACUGGAAAGUCCACAGCCUUUCAGAGUCAGACUUGGGAAAGAAGAUAUGGGAUUUAGCAUGCUGAGUAAGAAAAAACACAACAUAUAUUCAGACAACAUGGAAAAUAACAAGAAAGUAAAUUUCUCAUAGUGUUGAGAAUCUCUAAGGAUUUAAAACAUGGAUUGUCUUUCCACAAUAACAUGUUCACAGAUGCAAGUGGAAAGCUCUUUGAGUAGGAGUCACAGAGUAGAUUUUUCCUAACCAUGAACAAUGCAGCAAUAUAUGUUUUAAAAGUCAGAGAGGCUUCAGUAUGAUUUUAGGGUAUUCCUGGUUUAGAUUACAUUGAACAGGCACCAACCAUCAGCUUGUAUUUUAGCAGGUUUCAUUUAACUGUUUAUUCCUGGAAACCUAGGCUUCAAAUCUACUGCUUGUCUCAUGUGGGGCCAAGAGUCUAUGUGGGACGCAAAAUCAGCUUAACUUGCUUUUGUAGGUGUCUACUGAUAUACUGCAGGUCAACAUGCUAAUGAUGUUUGAGCAGAGAAAGCAGCUGCUCCAAGCGCAUUUGAAGCCUGAAGCUAUACAGUGACGUCAUGAGAAUCAGUGCUCCCCAGAGAGGAGAUGCAUACAGUUUCACCAUCUUCCCUUUCGCUGUAGAUAACAGGGGUUCCAUAGAUAAUACUCUUUGCUUCUCCUACUUUCUGUUCAUUCUUUCUUUGAGCUUCAGACCAAUAUUUUUCAAAGAUAAAGGUAGGGUGUAGCCCAAAGUAAUUCCAAAAUUUUACUUCAUACAGUGCCUUCCAAAAACCUUGGAAUAUUGAGAUUCUCCCUGCACAGAUUUUAGAGAACUUUCUGAAGAGAGAGAUUUCCUUUGAACACUUGCCAUAAUGUUUCCUUGUGUGCAUUACUGCUUCUGAUUCCCAAAGUAUCUGAGUUACAAUGGUCCUGUUUGAAAAAAUUUAAAACUCUCUUGGGAUAAAAUAGGAGCACUAAUAGUAAAAUACACAUAUUUUAAAAAAUCUGAAAUCCUACAGCUUUAUGAUGGUAAUAGACCCAUUAAACUUGACUUUGCUUGCAGCUUCCACUGAGGAAACAAACUGAGAAAUACACAGGCAGGGGAAUUCAGAGAGCAGGAGUCUUUUCUGAAAGGCAGAAUAGUAUUGAUUACACUUGGCAAGCAUGGAGGUUUUUUAUAUUUUGACUGAAGAGUUAAUUCUUGGGAGCCCAUAGGAGCUGGAUUUAGGCUAUACAUUCCUACAACAGCCUGCCUGACAGCUUGUUUUUGAACACCAUCUUAUCUUUUUUUAAUUAACAAAGGACAAAACAAGAGUAACAGGUCUGAGAACCCAGACACUAAAGGAUCUAAAGGAAGAGAAUUUAUCUGGUGAGGAGAUAGUGAUGCUGUGGUUUUCUGAUGUUGCUUCUUUUCAUCAGGCAGCUCCCCUUUUCUCACCCUGAUGAUGUCCUUGGAAAUACAGACCCUGUUCCGUAAUGUUUUGGUUGAUUUCAUGUCUUGCUUCUCUUUCAUUACUCUUUUGUGAAUCAUUAUUACCAUAACUUUGUUCUGAGCAUAGCUGGGGGGGGGGAAAGU